GUGCGACUCAGGAAGAGACGUCAGAAGGGCGCGAGGCGACAGCGGCACUUCAGUCGUCUGCACACUCACCCGGGAGGCUGGCUUCUCACAGCCGGCUGACCACAGGCCUGGACGGCGCUGGCGUGGCAGGACCGGGAUGAGGGCUGCGCCCCUGCGCCGCGCAGGCGGAGGGUGGCGGUGCUCGGGAAGCAGCACAAAUGGGUCUGAAGAUCUGAGGAUCCAGUGGGGCUCGCCUCUCUCCCGGGAGGAUGUCGCCGGCCCCUCCGACCCCUGGAGCCUGUCCGGGCCUCCGCCGUCCGCCCCGGCCCCCAGCCCGGUUCUAGCUCACGCUCUCGGACCCCCCACCGCGGCUCCGGUUCUUCCGCAGCUCCCCAGCACCACCACUCCCCAGCCUGCUUCUGCUGCAAGCUCCAUCCGCAAGGAGGCAGGAGGUGGCUGAUCCAGAGCCAGCCAGCACGUUCCUGAAGUGCUGACAGGGACGCCAGCAAGGGCAGCUCAUGGUUUCCACAUGGCAGCCAGGGCAGAGGGGUUUGGCCGCUUUUCCCUCUCACCCCCGACGAUGGUGAAGAAGCUCUCAGAUGGGGAGUCAGGUGACUCUGCAGGUGCUGGCGGUGCGGCCACCCCUCCCCUCCAGCAGCAUAAUCGUUCCUGCUUCGUGGGACUGAGGACUGGCAUCAUUACGACAGUAAGUUACAAUGCCUGCCACGUGUGGAGUGUUCAGCGAAUGAGGAACACCUGGCCCUGGACCAGCCACCUCACUCCCUCUGAAGGUCCCACGUCAUCUCCAGAGCCCCUGAGGGACGCUAAGCCGCUAGAGCCUGGAAAUGGGGAGCCAGGGCCCUUGCAGAUGGACGGACAUCUGGGCUCUUUUCAUUCCUUUUUUUUGUUUGGUUUUUUUUGCUGCCUUUUUAAAAACUUUGCUUUGGGUUUUGUUUGUUUUUUGGUGGGAAGGUAAUUAGGUUUAUUUAUUUAAUGGGGGGACUGGGGAUUGAGACCAGGACCCCGGUGUGCACUCUACACUGAGCUACGUCCUCUCCCCCGUUUUCAUGUACUUAGACUGGGGUGUGUUUGUGAAAUGAAACGUGGCAGCUGGAGUUACAAAGACUGCAACUUGUUUGAAAUGCCUACGACUACAGGUUACUGUUUGUCACGUAUAAGACGUGACAGUGCCUGUAGCCUUCGUGAGCGUGACAGGCAAAGCCUGGAUCUGGGCCCUUCGUGAAUGUGGUGCUCAGAGCCAGACAGCCCUCCUUCCCGCCCUCCCCAUGGACUGACACCAGGGGCUGCAAGGCUGGAACCUGGGGUCUGGAGUCUGGCCCGUCUCUGCCCUGGAGGUUCCGGAAUCACAGAAUGUCAGGCCCAGAGGGGCCUUACGAUCAGCUUGCCCGAACCCUCCUGUAACAGAUUCGGAACCUGAGAGGCAGGGAGAAGAGGUCCUUUGCUCAAAACACUCAGCAAGCGAGAGGGAGGUCCAGGCCACGGCACCAGAGCUCCUGACUCCCAGGCUGGUGCUCUUCCUGCUUCGAUUUAGCAAACAGAAAAGGAAAAGCACCCAGGAAAUCCUGAGGCUGAAGCACCCCCCUUUCCCCUCUCCUCACCCUCGGCCCCUCUCUCCUGACGCUGGAUCCAUGACCCUGACCACAACCACCACAAAAACAGCCCCUUUCAUCUGCUACCCUUGGUAUCUGGACACGGAGGGACUCUGGUCCCAUCUAAACAUUGGAGCAAUCUAGAAAGGGCUCAAUGCUCCCAAGGGGCAGAAACGGCCAGAGGAGGGACGGGGAAGGCAGGGCCUGGUUGCUGGGCAACCAGCUUCAUCUGUUGCCUCGGUGACGGCCCCAUCAGAGGGAGGCUGUGGCAGUGUGUGCCCAUGAGUCUCCAGUCUUUUCAGCACCAGCUGGCUGGAACCCCCUCCCCGUGGCACCCUGCCUCCUGCACACGUUGGAGGCCCCAAAACUCGACUAGGACCCUUACCGGCCUCAUUUCCCGCCUCCUCCUCCAUUCCUCGUCGGAGAAUUUCAGGCUGCAGCCACCCCAGAUUGUCAGCCUCUCUGUUUACAACACCUUUGACCUUCCCUCCAGACCUCCACUUAAGCAUCUCUCCCAGUGUGGUGGCUGGCUGGGGCCACUGCCUCCGAGGGGCAGCAAGCAGGGAGGAGCCCACCGCGGUGCGCAGUGGCUGCUGAGGCUGCUCCCACAGGAGCCGGGCUCCCGCCCCCAGCCUCUGCGGGGCUGGAGGAGAAGAGGGGUGGCCGUCGUUCAGGUGACAGACAUUCAGUGAGCACUGCUGUCACUCUAGCACGAUGCCUGGCCCUGGCACACGGGGCACAUAGGACAGUCCAGUCGCUGCCGCCCAGCCCAGGGGACGUCAGACGAGCAAGAGGAGAGUUACAUGGAGGUAGAUGUGCUCCAGGAGGGAGGGGUCUUGGGAGCUGGGUGAGCACAGAGGAGACGCCCCUCGUAGAUUACCAGGGGGCGUGUAGGGGCUCCCUCCACGGGUGGCUAUGUCCCCACCCCCAGAACCUGUGCACGCUGCCUGUGUCACAGAGGAGACCCUACGGAUGUGAUUCAGAUCUUGAGACGAGACGAUUAUCCUGGGUUAUCUGGUGGGCCCAGUGUCAUCACAAGGGUCCUUAUAAGAUGGAGGCAGGAGGUCAGAGAGAGAGGAGACCAGAUGGUGGAGACAAGAGGUGGGAGUGAUGUGAGGAAGGGGCCACGCAGCGAGGGGUGCAGGCGGCCUCAGAAGCUGAGAAAGGCGGAGAUCAGCUUCUCCCCUGAGCCUUCCAGGAGGAGCACAGCCCCCAACACUGACUUGGCCCCGGAAGACGAACUGUGUGCUUCUCCAGAACGGCAAGAGUAAAUCUGCAUCGUUUCACAACACUAAGUUGGUGACAAUUAGUCACAGCAGCCACAAGGAACUAAUAGGAGGGUGAAGGCUUCUUGGGGGAGGUGACGAUUAGCCGAGUUUUGAAGAGUUAGUAGGAAUGAAUCCUGCAAAGGGGCAGAGGAAUCAGUCGGGGCAAAAGCCAGACAAUGAGAGAGCUCCUGGCACUUCCGUGCCCCAUACGUGGUGCAGUGAGGACUAGGCGGGGGGUGGGCUGUCAGAGGAGAGGAGAGAGACCAGGACAGGGGCCAGACCACAGCGGACCUUACAAGCCAGGGCAAGGAGUUCGGACGUUCCCCUGAAGGCAGUGGGGAGCCAUUGAGGAGAAUAAGCAGGGGAUGGCUGGAUCACACUGGACUCCUGGGAAGGUCACACUGACUUCCUAAGGGAGAAGGAGUUGCAGGGGACGAGAAGGCUGUGGGGAGACCAAGCUGGAAGCCGGGCAGCCGUCGGGUGGGAAGGUGAGCACGGCAGUCACGACUGGAGGGGUGGUGAUGGGCCGAGGGGAUGGGCCGAGGGGGCUGGCCAGGCCCUGCUGCUGCUGGCACAUGGGGACAAGGAGGGCUCAGUUUUGCAAGUAGGUGGUCACAUCUCAGGGGCUGGGGUGAGUGGACGGAGGUCAAGGGGACUGGACGCAGAGGCAGCUGUCUGAAGGGCUAGUCCAGGGAUUUGUGCUUCAGGAUUUGGAGCAGGUGGGAGUGACCCUGAGCAGAAAUCCCGUCUGGGUUCUGACAAGGGCGUCAAGCAGACCCUCAGAAGCUGCCUAGCUCGGAGGAGGGUGUGGCCCAGGGGUGGAGCGUGUGCUUAGCGUGCACGAGGUCCUGGGCUCAAUCCCAGCACCUCUCUUUAAAAAAUCAAAUGCCGAUCUGGAAACCAUGGAGUCCCCCCCGCAAGAGAACGCGGCAGUCGGCACUAGACAGACGGUUCCCUCCUCCCCUCCGCCUGGGGGGGGAGAAGCGAUCCCGCCCUCUCAGCCUCUUUACUCUGAACUCCCUGUUAAAGCACACUCAGAGUCGGCCUGGUCUUUGGGGGAGGCGGGGGCUGCCCCCCACAUUGGCAGUUCCCCACAGCAGGGGGAGCUGGGGGCUCAAGUGUCCCCUUCGUAGUCUGUGUGACCCCGGUCUUGGGUCAGAGGCUUUGAAGUCUCUAGCAAAUGAUGGGGGCAGACGGAGAAAGCUGCUCACCUUCACGAGAAGUCAAAGAAAUGACUGGGAAACGCCCUCACACCCAGUGGUGUCCCGGGUGGAGAGGGGCACAGGGCGGGGAGCUGGUAAACGUGUCUGGAGAGCAACUUGAGAAUCUGCUGAGAAGAUGCUCCUUCCCUUUCACCCAGCAAGUUCUGUUCUGGGAGCACGUCCUCAGGAAACGGGCACAGAUGUGAAAGGAAAGAUUUACGUACGAAAUGCAUCUCAUGACAGAGCUUAUAAUUGGGAAAAAUGAAAACUCUUCAACAACAGGGCAAUGGUUACGACUCUAGGGCCCCGCGUAGGAAGGGCUAUUACGGGACCUUAAAAAAAAGGUGUUUGCAAAAAAAAAAAUUUAAUGACAUGAGAAAACACUCAUGGUAUAAAAUACUUACGUCAUGCAAAAGUGUCUUAAUGGUAUAAACUUAACUCUGCCAAGAGAACUGCAAAGAAAGAAACUUAAAAGCAACAUGCCAAAGCAAAACCUGGCUGGCUAUAAAUGCAGUACUUUGAGGUUUU